GAAUCUAAUCUUUUUAAAUAACUAUUAAGCUUCUGAGUAAGGGAACCUUCCAUUCUAUUUUUCUUUCUUUUCUUUCUAGGAAUUCAAUAGCUCUCUCAAUUAGUUUAGGCUACCUUGUAAAAUCCCAAACAAUAUUUUCUCUCUCUAGUAAAAUAAUUUACAUUAACUUGUAUUAAAACAGACAUAAUUAUAUAUAUUCAAAUCUACAAGACAAUAUUUUCAAGAGCAAACUUGAACUACUGCAGCCAAUAUUGUUGUAUUUAAUAUAUUCAAAGGCAAGCAUGCUCUAAACACUGUGUAAAGAUCUAAUUGGUCCAUGAAAGGGUACGGAAGUGAAGGUUACUUGGUCAUGUUCUAAUACAAGUUAAAGCUAAUUCUAAUUACUGAACACAAGCAACCUUAAUACAAAUAAUAACAUGACUGGAUUGCAUUAUCCUUCUCUAUUGACAUGGCAACUUAAACUUUAGACUCAUUUUUUCGAAUUUUGUAAAUACUUUAUAAUCAUUGCCAACAAAAAUAAAAGUGCUUAAAGAAAUAUUGCAAUCUACUGAAAAAUAGAAAUUAUUUCAGUCUUUGCCCCCAUAUGUUUUGCACUGCACCAUGUAAGACAUAGAAAGAAAAGAAGAGACAAAACUCCAAUAAAGUAUAAAAAAUACUGAAUAACAUCAUUUCAUUUGAUUCCUAAUAUGUACGUCCAACCAGUUCAACUUUAUAAUGCUAAAAUUAAACCAUAAAUUAAAACCAAUUGAACAAAAAUGGAUAACUUCAGGAACAUGCCUUCACAAAGGAAAUAAGAAUAACACACCACAAAAGACUAACUUUCUUUAUGUUUCCAAGACACCGUAUAGCUUCAGGGCUCUUAGAAACCUAUUUAUGCAUAAAUUAGCAAGUGUACUAGUCGGCACAAGUAAUAUAAUGAAGAGUAGAGUAUCGUCCCACAGAGAUUGUAUAUCCUAUUAGUUACCUAAAUUAUUCUAACCCUAAUUUAUUUGAACAAUCGAAUAAGCGAAUUUAGAUUAAAAUAAAAUAAAAUAAAAUAAUUAAAAAUUAAAUAAAGACGCAGGUAGUAAUAGAAAUCACCAAGAGAUUAAGACACUAGGACAUCUGAUUUCACCAUAACCAAUCCAAUUUAAUCCUCCAUCUAUGCUAUUAAAAUUUACUACCCAUGUUGACAGUGAAUUUCCCUAAUCCAUUCAAUAUCCUCUCUCGAGUAAUAUUAAAAAUACCUUCAGACAUUAACCCACUAUAUCUCUAUGUGAAUUUAAAUAUGCAAAGAUUCAUUAAGCUCCAUGAAAUUUCUUAGAAAAACUGCACGAAUCACGUUGGCACAUCUCUGUCUUUUGUUCAAUUCAUGACAUCCAUUACACAGAGCAAAAAUACAUAAAUCUCCUCUCGGUCUCAUUAUGUAUCCUCAAAUCAUUCAAAUAUUGGUCAGAUAUUUAAAAGCAUUAAGCACAAUAAUGAACACUCAACCAUGGAAUAAUAAAUUAAAAAUAACAUAAAUUUAUGGAAUUAAAUCUUCAUAGUUAGGCUACAUCGUAGCCCUAGUAAAUAAAUUAGUUCAUGGAAAUAUAAAGAGAAUUCAUAAAUUUAAUUGGAAACAUUCAAGCAAGAUAAUAGAGAAGAGGGAAAGAAAAACUCAAGAAACUAGGCUCUUGCGGCUGCUCUCGGUUUUUUCUUCUAAUUGGUGCGGCUAUUGUUUCCUUUCUUCUUUCUUCGGCUUGUGGUUUCUCUUAUGUCAAUUCCCUUUUUCCCCUUUGGCUUCUCAAAUUGUGCGGCUGCCUUCUUGUCUCUUUUCUUCUAAUUGGCUUUUCCCUUUUAUAAUGUUGUGACUUGUAAAAUCCUCUUAUGAAAAGAAUUAAAAACAAAAGUCAAGCCGCCUGUUUAUUCCUAAGCCAAUAAGAAUUGAAGCCAAAGCCCAUCACGUGAAGCAUUCAAAUUGCCAAUUAAUUCUUUAAUGCUCCCCCACUUGCUUGCCAUAUUUGUCAACCAAAUAUCCAAAGCUUCCCCCACGUGUUGCAUGCAUGAUGAUUAAAUUCAAUCAUCCUUGAUUUGGCUUUUUAUUUCUUUUCCUCUUACUUCCACAUUAUUUCCAUUAUACUCCAAUUUGUUUCCUCUUUAAACUUCCUUUCUCAUGAAUAUUCCCAAUAUUCCUACAAUGAAAAAAUAUAAACAUUAAGAUAAAAAAUAAUAUAAUAAAAUAUAAUUUAACAUAAAAUUAAGUUAUGGAAGCAUUAAAAUAAUAGAUAAAUUAUGAGCACAUCACCUAUUAUCUUUCUCCUUUGUCCAUCGUUCAUGUUGCUUCCUUUUCUACCAUUAACCAAAAUUCACAAUUCAUAUAUUUUAUCCUUAACAGCUAUUUCAUAUCACCAAAAAAAAUUUAAAAAUUUUAAAAAAUAAAUAAAGAAGAAGAGACAUAAAAUAUAAAAGUAAUCAAAGGUUUCUACUUAAAUGUAAGGGUCCAUAACCCUCAAAAUCUAUCACAAUCACACCAAAAUCAACGAGAUUACCACUGAACAUGCCCAGACCCUAGCCUUAACCCUUAGAAUGAAACAUAAUCCCACCAAAAUCAAAGAGUUUACCUGCAAUGACCAUGGAGAAGAGCGAAUGAGUGAUAACGAGUAGGUCCAGGAGAGCGAAUAUAAAAUUUAAUAGAGUGGAAUAAGUCAGUGAAUGGGUCUAUGAAAGUAAAGUGAGCGAAACGGCAAUUGAGAGUGAUCGAUUUAAAGCAAAAUAAAGAGAGCUUAAGCAAAAAGAAGAGUCACGAGAGACCGAAAAUGUGAAGUGAGCGCCUCUUCAAGUGUUUGAAGAUAAGGGAAAAUCGUGUUUCA
rnacentral:lncRNA from 1 species